rnacentral:rRNA from 1 species
CGUGGCUCAGAAUCAACGCUGGCGGCGUGCCUCAGACAUGCAAGUCGAACGCGAAAUUUCCCUUCGGGGAGAAAGUAGAGUGGCGCACGGGUGAGUAACACGUAGGUAAUUUGCCUUUGGGUGGGGAAUAACUCAGGGAAACUUGAGCUAAUACCGCAUAAUGCAGCGGCUCGACAUCGAGACAGUUGUUAAAGCGGGGAGUCGC